CCCGCUGAACUUAAGCAUAUCAAUAAGCGGAGGAAAAGAAACUAACAAGGAUUCCCCUAGUAACUGCGAGUGAAGCGGGAAAAGCUCAAAUUUAAAAUCUGGCGGUCUCACCGUUCGAGUUGUAUAUUUUCAGAAGCAUUAUCCGCGCCGGACCGUACACAAGCUCUCCUGGAAUAGAGCGUCAUACGAGGGUGAGAAUCCCGUCUUUUGUACAGACUCCCGGGGCAUUGUGAUGUGCUCUCUCAUAGACGAGCUGUUUGUGAAUGCAAUCUCACAAUGGGUGGGAAGAUUCCAUCUAAAGCUAAAUAUUGGCGAGAGACCGAUAGCGAACAAGUACCGUGAGGGAAAGAUGAAAAGAACUUUGGAAAGAGAGUUAAACAGUACGUGAAAUUGCUGAAAGGGAAACGCUUGCAGUCAGUCGCGAUCUGCAGGACUCAGCCAUGCUUUUCUGUGGUGUACUUCCUGUUCAUUGGGUCAACAUCAGUUUUGGUCAGUGGAAAAAGGUUCAGGGAAUGUGGCUCUUUCGGGAGUGUUAUAGCCUUGGAUCAUAUGACAUUGACUGGGACUGAGGAACUCAGCACGCCGCAAGGCCGGGUUUUUAACCACGUUCGUGCUUAGGAUGUUGGCAUAAUGGCUUUAAUCGACCCGUCUUGAAACACGG
rnacentral:rRNA from 1 species